rnacentral:rRNA from 1 species
AUUGAACGCUGGCGGCAGGCCUAACACAUGCAAGUCGAGCGAGCGGCGGACGGGUGAGUAAUGUAUGGGGACUGCCCGAUAGAGGGGGAUAACUACUGGAAACGGUGGCUAAAACCGCAUACUAUCGGAUAACCCAUAUGGGAUUAGCUAGUAGGUAAGGUAAAGGUUGACCUAGGCGACGAUCCCUAGCUGGUCUGUGAGGAUGAUCAGCCACACUGGGACUGAGACACGGCCCAGACUCCUACGGAGGCAGCAUUGGGGAAUAUUGCACAAGGGGCGCAAGCCUGAUGCAGCCAUGCCGCGUGUAUGAAGAAGGCCCUAGGGUUGUAAAGUACUUUCAGUCGGGAGGCGUUACCGACAGAAGAAGCACCGGCUAACUCCGUGCCAGCCGCCGCGGUAAUUC